rnacentral:rRNA from 1 species
GUGUAGCGGUGGAAUGCGUAGAUAUCGGGAGGAACACCAGUGGCGAAGGCGGCCUACUGGGCACCAACUGACGCUGAGGCUCGAAAGUGUGGGUAGCAAACAGGAUUAGAUACCCUGGUAGUCCACACCGUAAACGAUGAUUACUAGGUGUUGGAGGAUUGACCCCUUCAGUGCCGCAGUUAACACAAUAAGUAAUCCACCUGGGGAGUACGACCGCAAGGUUGAAACUCAAAGGAAUUGACGGGGGCCCGCACAAGCAGUGGAGUAUGUGGUUUAAUUCGACGCAACGCGAAGAACCUUACCAAGUCUUGACAUCCUGCGACGGUGCUGGAAACAGUACUUUCCUUCGGGACGCAGAGACAGGUGGUGCAUGGUUGUCGUCAGCUCGUGUCGUGAGAUGUUGGGUUAAGUCCCGCAACGAGCGCAACCCUUAUGGUCAGUUACUACGCAAGAGGACUCUGGCCAGACUGCCGUUGACAAAACGGAGGAAGGUGGGGAUGACGUCAAAUCAUCAUGCCCUUUAUGACUUGGGCUACACACGUACUACAAUGGCGUUAAACAAAGAGAAGCAAGACCGCGAGGUGGAGCAAAACUCAGAAACAACGUCCCAGUUCGGACUGCAGGCUGCAACUCGCCUGCACGAAGUCGGAAUUGCUAGUAAUCGCAGAUCAGCAUGCUGCGGUGAAUACGUUCCCGGGCCUUGUACACACCGCCCGUCACACCAUGAGAGCCGGGGGGACCCGAAGUCGGUAGUCUAACCGCAAGGAGGACGCCGCCGAAGGUAAAACUGGUGAUUGGGGUGAAGUCGUAACAAGGUAGCCGUAGGAGAACCUGCGGCUG